GUAGUCUCGCACAGAUGCAUAUCAAUAAGCGGAGGAAAAGAAACUAACAAGGAUUCCCUCAGUAACGGCGAGUGAAGCGGGAAGAGCUCAAAUUUGAAAUCUUGAAAGGUCACCUUUCACGAAUUGUAGUUUAAAGAAGUGUUUUCUGCUUACGAUUUGGUAAUAAGUUCUUUGGAAUAGGACAUCAUAGAGGGUGAGAAUCCCGUAUGAUUGACCGUUAUUUGUCAGCUUUGUGAUACACUUUCAAAGAGUCGGAUUGUUUGGGAAUGCAUGUCCCAAAAUGGGUAGGUAAAUUUCUAUCUAAGGCUAAAUAUUGGCGAGAGACCGAUAGCGAACAAGUACCGUGAGGGAAAGAUGAAAAGAACUUUGAUAAGAGAGUUAAAUAGUACGUGAAAUUGUCAAAAGGGAAGCGUUUAACACCAGUGUUGUUUUCUGAAAAUCAACCUCUGUUAGCUUUAUGCAUGUUUGUUUAGACCUAAUCAGCUAUCUUGCAUGUUCUAUUGUUUGCAGUGGUGCACUUUUCAGUUUACAGGUCAACAUCAGUUUUUUUUACCGUAAAAAAGUUAAAGAAGGGUAGCUCAUGGCUCCGGUCGUGAGUGUUAUAGUCUUUUUCCUAUGCGGUAGGAGAGACUGAGGUCUGCAGUGUAGGCUAUUUGGCUAGAUACUCAGGUGCUAUGUGAUACCAUUUCAUAAACAACUUGUUGAUUAUAGUUUUGUCUAUUGCAUACUCGCUUGUACUAUCAUACCUACGCUUAGGAUGUUGAGUCGUAGAGCACGCAG
rnacentral:rRNA from 1 species